CUACGUGCCAGCAGCCGCGGUAAUACGGAAGGUCCGGGCGUUAUCCGGAUUUAUUGGGUUUAAAGGGAGCGUAGGUUGGAGAUUAAGUGUGUUGUGAAAUGUAGACGCUCAACGUCUGACUUGCAGCGCAUACUGGUUUCCUUGAGUACGCACAACGUUGGCGGAAUUCGUCGUGUAGCGGUGAAAUGCUUAGAUAUGACGAAGAACUCCGAUUGCGAAGGCAGCUGGCGGGAGCGCAACUGACGCUGAAGCUCGAAGGUGCGGGUAUCGAACAGGAUUAGAUACCCUGGUAGUCCGCACAGUAAACGAUGGAUGCCCGCUGUUGGUACCUGGUAUCAGCGGCUAAGCGAAAGCAUUAAGCAUCCCACCUGGGGAGUACGCCGGCAACGGUGAAACUCAAAGGAAUUGACGGGGGCCCGCACAAGCGGAGGAACAUGUGGUUUAAUUCGAUGAUACGCGAGGAACCUUACCCGGGCUUGAA
rnacentral:rRNA from 1 species